rnacentral:lncRNA from 1 species
AGAAGCUAUGCUACCACCUAAAGCAGAGAUUAAGAACAGGGUCCUUUGGAAAACCAGAAUUUGGACCAACCAAAUCCACUAGCAAUGAAGAGAUUGGAUGAGGAAUUUAUAUAGGGGAGGGAGAGGUCUGCUCACCACUGUAACAUCCUGAAUUCUGUUUCUUUCCUUGUUCUCUGACUCCUUGAAAGAACAUACUCCUCUCUUUUCUAGACCUCUUCUUGUAAUAGAACAAUCCUACAGGCCCCUCAGCACACUGUACUUUAUUCACUCUGACCUCUGACUUAUCCAUAUGCCCAUACAUAUACACAAAGCCUGGGAAUGGCAUGCCCCAACCAAGGCCCACUCAUCACCAUCAGAAGAGCUUCUAGACAUGGACAUCAUUUUCUGCUUUCACCCUGAUUGAGACCAUCUGACAAGGACAUAUUCAAGGACAUUAUGCUCUGAAGGACCAUUUUCACCUACCACUGCUUUCCUAAGGACACCAUAAGGAAAGACUAUCCAUAGGAGAACCUUAAGGGGAUAUCAUCUCCUGUAUCAGGAGCACAUAUACUCAGAGGCAAAUCAAUGCUCUGGCAACAUGAAAGGUGUGAUGGAGAUUCACAGAGGAGGACGACGGCAGGAAUGGAGCCCACCCCACACCUCCUAUAUCAGGUUCCAGCAAGCUAACACACAUUACAAUGUUCUUAGAAGCCUCUGGCUAGAAGACAGGGCCACAUAGUCUUCCAUAGCUGGAUGAACAAGGUCAUGUUCUUGCCUCCAGAAGAUCUCAAGAGUGUGAAGAGCUCAUCAUCAUUUAAUUUCUCCAUCAGCUGUAACUAUGAGUGAAUAUCACAGAAGAAGAGCAUUGAGUCUGCCAUUAACCCAACUAAGGAGCAGCAAAAGUCAAAAGUACAAAAGGCUCCUGGCCUGGGCCUUUGAGGUCCAGCUCACUUCCCCGUGCCUAGCUCUUCCCCUGCCUAGGCUCCUUGCCCAAUUCUCUGAGCCCCUUUACAUACUGAAUCUAGCAAUGUAUG